rnacentral:rRNA from 1 species
UACGUAGGCAGCGAGCGUUGUUCGGAUUCACUGGGCGUAAAGGGUGCGUAGGCGGUCGGGUAAGUCUGAUGUGAAAUCUCACAGCUUAACUGUGAAACUGCAUUGGAUACUAUCCGGCUCGAGGAAUGGAGGGGAGACUGGAAUACUUGGUGUAGCAGUGAAAUGCGUAGAUAUCAAGUGGAACACCAGUGGCGAAGGCGAGUCUCUGGACAUUUCCUGACGCUGAGGCACGAAAGCCACGGGAGCAAACGGG